GAAUUUUAUAUAAAUUUAUUAUUUGAAUUUAUUAAUUAUUAAGAUGAUAAAUUUAUAUUUUAUUGGGAGGAUAAAUAAAUUUAAAUAACUUUAUAAAAUAAAAAAAGACAUUAAUUAAUGAAUGUAGUUAUGAAUGGCUAAAGUUAGUUUAAGUAGAAUUAAUUACCUUAGGGAUAACAGCGUAAUAUUUUUUGAAAGAUCUGAUUGAUAAAAAUGAUUGC
rnacentral:rRNA from 1 species